GAGCAUUCCGGCAGCUUAACACAUGCAAGUCGAGCGGUAGCACAGAGAGCUUGCUCUCGGGUGACGAGCGGCGGACGGGUGAGUAAUGUCUGGGAAACUGCCUGAUGGAGGGGGAUAACUACUGGAAACGGUAGCUAAUACCGCAUAACGUCGCAAGACCAAAGUGGGGGACCUUCGGGCCUCAUGCCAUCAGAUGUGCCCAGAUGGGAUUAGCUAGUAGGUGGGGUAACGGCUCACCUAGGCGACGAUCCCUAGCUGGUCUGAGAGGAUGACCAGCCACACUGGAACUGAGACACGGUCCAGACUCCUACGGGAGGCAGCAGUGGGGAAUAUUGCACAAUGGGCGCAAGCCUGAUGCAGCCAUGCCGCGUGUGUGAAGAAGGCCUUCGGGUUGUAAAGCACUUUCAGCGGGAGGAAGGCGGUGAGGUUAAUAACCUUGUCGAUUGACGUUACCCGCAGAAGAAGCACCGGCUAACUCCGUGCCAGCAGCCGCGGUAAUACGGAGGGUG
rnacentral:rRNA from 1 species